AUUGAACGCUGGCGGCAGGCCUAACACAUGCAAGUCGAACGGUAACAGGAAGCAGCUUGCUGCUUCGCUGACGAGUGGCGGACGGGUGAGUAAUGUCUGGGAAACUGCCUGAUGGAGGGGGAUAACUACUGGAAACGGUAGCUAAUACCGCAUAACGUCGCAAGACCAAAGAGGGGGACCUUAGGGCCUCUUGCCAUCGGAUGUGCCCAGAUGGGAUUAGCUAGUAGGUGGGGUAACGGCUCACCUAGGCGACGAUCCCUAGCUGGUCUGAGAGGAUGGCCAGCCACACUGGAACUGAGACACGGUCCAGACUCCUACGGGAGGCAGCAGUGGGGAAUAUUGCACAAUGGGCGCAAGCCUGAUGCAGCCACGCCGCGUGUAUGAAGAAGGCCUUCGGGUUGUAAAGUACUUUCAGCGGGGAGGAAGGGAGUAAAGUUAAUACCUUUGCUCAUUGACGUUACCCGCAGAAGAAGCACCGGCUAACUCCGUG
rnacentral:rRNA from 1 species